ACCUGCACAGCAGAAUGACCCGCGAACUCGUCAAGAAAACCGGGGGACGCCGCACGGCAGCCCCCUCGUUGGUGCGUGCAACCCUUGGGAGUGCGCAUCGGCACCAAACAAACCCCGGCGCGGUCCGCGCCAAGGAAAACAUAACUCAAAGAGCACCCCCCCCUUCCAGUCACCCCGUUCGCGGAGCGUGCGUGGUUGGGCGGUUGGUUCUUAGUGAAAAACACAAACGACUCUCGGCAACGGAUAUCUCGGCUCUCGCAUCGAUGAAGAACGUAGCGAAAUGCGAUACUUGGUGUGAAUUGCAGAAUCCCGUGAACCAUCGAGUCUUUGAACGCAAGUUGCGCCCGAAGCCAUUAGGCCGAGGGCACGUCUGCAUGGGCGUCACGCAUCGCGUCGCCCCCCUCACCACAAAAAGGGAAGAGGGGGAGCGGACAAUGGCCUCCCGUGCCCUCAAGUGCGGUUGGCUCAAAUUGGAGUCCCCCGAAGGAGGACGCACGACAAGUGGUGGUUUAUUACAAGGCCCUCGCGUCGAGUCGUGCGCAUGUCCAACUCUGGGAUUUGGCUCUCGCGACCCUGAUGUGCCUUGAACGUAGGCGCUCCGACCGCGACCCCA
rnacentral:rRNA from 1 species